rnacentral:rRNA from 1 species
UACGUAGGGUGCGAGCGUUGUCCGGAAUUACUGGGCGUAAAGAGCUCGUAGGUGGUUUGUCGCGUUGUUCGUGAAAACCGGGGGCUUAACCCUCGGCGUGCGGGCGAUACGGGCAGACUUGAGUACUGCAGGGGAGACUGGAAUUCCUGGUGUAGCGGUGGAAUGCGCAGAUAUCAGGAGGAACACCGAUGGCGAAGGCAGCUCGCUGGGACGAUACUGACGCUGAGGCGCGAAAGCGUGGGGAGCAAACAGG